rnacentral:tRNA from 1 species
AUACUUAAAAGACUAACUCCUCCUUAAUAUCUUCAAUAUCACGCUCUAAUAAGCUAUUAAAGUA